rnacentral:misc_RNA from 1 species
GAAAAAGCAAGUGCGAUCCGAGGUCCAAUCCACUUUAUUUAGAACCGAUCAAACAAACACCUUCUAGGCUUCAGCUUCUACAUGUGUGUGGGUGGAUGCAUUCAAAAUAUACGCUUGUGCCCAGACGUUAAUCCACAAAAUAAAAACAGCGGUUGAAAUCUCCACAGACGACUCCCGCUCAGUCCCAGACAUUCUUUCAAAAUCGAAAAAUCAUCAGCUUCUCCUAUUACUUUGUCCAGAUUUACCUAGAAUUACACAACCAAAGAAAACCAACACAUAUCCACAUUCCAUGAACAACAGGGACAAGAAAAUCCACCAGAAAAUGUAAAUUUUUUUUCUUUUUCCAUUCCAUGGAUUUGUUCAAGAAAAGAUCCAAAAAGCUUUACAGAGCCAUUAGAACAGAGAAACCACGACCUAACCAGGAGACUUUUGAUCCCAGUCAUAUUCUAUACCAUAUCAUCCUAUCUAUACGAACCCAAAAGGAAAAGGACAACUGAAACUAAAACAGAGCCUGCAAUAAAGCUAAAACACAACAUCCAAAAGCCCCACCCACAAAGGGAAAAGCGUUCAAAGAAAACCUUUGCUUCGAUAUGGGAAAAUAGACAGUCACUUCAAACUUUUGCCUGCAGUGGAAAUUGCUAGACCAGGCCAAGAAAAGCAAUCUUCAUCCACCAACCCACCUCCUCCUUCAACAUCAUCCACCUGCCACGUGUUGCACCCAGAAGUACCACCUCCAUUCACAUACCCCAGGCCAGAAAAUGGCCAAGUCCCUCUACCCCCAAACCCAUGCCCCAAUUCGCACAAUCCGUAUCCAAAACCCGACUCGUAACCUACCAUCCCCAUGAACCCUGGUCCCUUUUGCGAGUUCAGAAGCGAGAUGAAGUUUCCAUUCUCGCUUACAGGAAGAUUCUCAUUCAGAUUCAGAUUAUCCGAAAACUCGACCUUUAACAAGGGUAACGCCGAGUCAAGAUUAGCGAGCACAGGCAAGGACUCAGGCUCAUGAAUCACAGUGGACAAAGUGGAAGUUGAGGUACUAGUGGAAGAAGAAGUGGAGUUGGGAGAAGAGGAGGAACGAGAGCGUUUGGAGUUCUUGCGUGUCCCACCGCCAACGGGAACGUUUCGAAGUGUACCACCGUGAGUCCAGUAGCGGCGGCAUGACUUGCAGAAAUGGCGAGGCUGGGAGAGAUUGUAGUUGUUGUAGUAGCAGAACUUGGUGUUUGUGGACUGGCACCUUGGGCAAGGGAGUGGCUCAGCCAGCUUCGGCGGUGGCUGCGACCCCAAGUUGUUUUGGGGUCGCCUGUCGCUGGAUUGCGAUGGCAUUUUUUUGGGUUUCGAGAGAGAAUGAUGAGAGCUAGGCAGUGAAUAGAAAAGGG